GAGGAGUGCUGUUCGUGUGUUCGAGUCCCUGGGUUGCUUCCUGGGGUCUGUGGUGCUGGGUGUGCUAUCUGCGUGUGAUUCUCUAGCGAGAGAUUGUGGGCGAGUGACCGAGUGGGCAAGGGGCCGUCACUGUGUGUGCGUGAUUUUGACAGUGUGUGGUGGUAGCUUCUGACUCCGCGUGGGUCGUUGAAUGUAUGACUGGGACCGUUUAGCGGUGGAUACACAACUGUGUGCGGCUGUGGAAGAUUGCCUCAUCCGUUACGUUCCCAUUUCCGUGGAACAACAGUUUUACCAGAAGGUUUCGAAGGAACCUUAAAGUUUGGAAGCGUAAGAGUUUAUCUGAGAUGGGAGCCUCACUGUAUUGCCCAGGCUGGUCUUGAACUCCGGAGCUCAAGUGAUCGUCUUGCUUCAGCCUUGCAAAAUGAUGGUGAAGCUGCAUCAUUGUCUGGGGUAAAUACCUGAGGUUCGUUGUCUCACGCCAAGGGAAUCAAGGACGUGGACACACAAGAAAUGGAGUCCCUGUCUGACCGGGCCAUGUUGUAUGUUCCUUGCUGUACACGUGGUUGACAAAGAAAAGGGAAGAUGGAGCUGCGAUGUUGGACAUGCCUGGCCCCCAGGACAUACAGCCCUGCCGAGCAAAUAAUGAACGUAACUCACAAACUUCCUGCUUAUCAUCAAACGCACGCAUCCACUUAUCAUCAAACACCUCGGGUGACAGAAGAAUGCAGGUCAGCUCCCUGCUGCCUUGGCAUUAUCAAUCAGCCCAGGAACCAUCCUAUAAAAUCUCCAGCAAGCCUUUGUUUCCUUGCAGUCAGCUCCUCUUCCACUGAUUCUGCCUGUUGCUCCCUGAUAACAUACUUUGAUACUGUCUUUAAUAAAUCUGCCUUUCUUCACCCAC
rnacentral:lncRNA from 1 species